UCUUUUGGAAAAUAAAUGAGAUAUAGGCACUACAGACAGGCUCAGUUUCCUGGAAAGAACACUGUGCGCUACGUGGCUCUCGAUAGGCAGGUGAGGGAGGGGAAACUGAAGCCUAAAGCCUGAGAAAGUGAGCAGGGUAGUGAGGGAGGGGACCUCCCAGCAGAAAUCGGUUCAGAUCCGACCUCAGCGGGGUGCGUGCACCAGAUGUUUGCAGAGGGUGUGGAUCCGCUGCCAGGCUCCGCGCCCCCGCCCCGGGGAACCGGGGAACCGAGCUCGUCUUGGCUGGGCUUCUAGCAAAAUCCUGGUCUUUGGAAUUUUUUCCAAACAGGGAGCUACUCCGUGCUGCCCGGGGGGUCCCGGCGGUGCGGAAGCCCACCUUCUUGGCGUGUCCCCCGGAAGUGGCUGCCUAUUGUCUGGUCUUAGAGUCGGGGUUUCAGCUUUUGUGGGAGGCCACAGUCUUCUAGGAAGGGGGCUUCUCCCUGUGGAGAGGGGGCCCCAUGUAUCUUCCAGAAGCGUCUCAGCAUCGCGCCUUCCCACUAAGCACCAUAGGAUGGGCCUGCCAGGACCCAGGGCCACCGGGCCGCUCAAGGAGCCACAUCUCUCGGUUUUCCGCGCCACGCCUCUGCAGAUUUCUGCCCCAGGAGUGUGUGAUCACCAAUUACUUUCUGAUCCAAAUGUGUUUCUCAAGCAGAAAAGGCUUCACAGAGCGAAGAGAAGCACGGCGUGGUGAGUGAUGCCUUAUGAGCAAGUCC
rnacentral:lncRNA from 1 species